GGCUCUUUGUGUUUAUUUUUAUAAAGAGUCAGGCCUGCCCAGUGAGAUAUUUAACGGCCGCGGUACUCUGACCGUGCAAAGGUAGCAUAAUCAUUUGCCUUAUAAUUGAAGGCUAGUAUGAAUGGUUUGACGAAAGCAAUACUGUCUCCUUUCUAUUUUCAAGAAUUUAACCUUUAGGUGAAGAGGCCCAAAUUUAAUUGAAGGACAAGAAGACCCUGUCGAGCUUAAAAGAUAUUAUAGAAGUUUAUAUAUUUUUAGAUAAAUUUUCUGUUAAGCUUUUUAGUUGGGGCGACUAAGGAACAAAAAAAGCUUCUUAUAAUAAGCAAACAACCGGGUUUUGAUCCGAUAAUAAUCGAUUAAGGGAAUUAGUUACCGCAGGGAUAACAGCAUAAUCUCUCUUGAGAGACCUAAUCGAAAGAGGGGGUUGUGACCUCGAUGUUGGACUAGAAUAUCCUAAAGAUGCAGAAGUCUUUAAGGGUCGGUCUGUUCGACCGUUAAAAUUCU
rnacentral:rRNA from 1 species